UACGUAGGGUGCAAGCGUUAAUCGGAAUUACUGGGCGUAAAGCGUGCGCAGGCGGUUGUGUAAGACAGAUGUGAAAUCCCCGGGCUCAACCUGGGAACUGCAUUUGUGACUGCACAGCUGGAGUGCGGCAGAGGGGGAUGGAAUUCCGCGUGUAGCAGUGAAAUGCGUAGAUAUCGGAAGGAACAUCAGUGGCGAAAGCGGCUUCCUGGUCCAGCACCGACGUUCAGGCACGAAAGCGUGGGGAGCAAACAGG
rnacentral:rRNA from 1 species